GAUGAACGCUGGCGGCGUGCUCAACACAUGCAAGUCGAACGAAGCAAUUUAACGGAGGUUUUCGGAUGGAAGUUAAAUUGACUGAGUGGCGGACGGGUGAGUAACGCGUGGGUAACCUGCCUCAUACAGGGGGAUAACAGUUAGAAAUGACUGCUAAUACCGCAUAAGCGCACAGUAUCGCAUGAUACAGUGUGAAAAACUCCGGUGGUAUGAGAUGGACCCGCGUCUGAUUAGCUAGUUGGUGGGGUAACGGCCUACCAAGGCGACGAUCAGUAGCCGACCUGAGAGGGUGACCGGCCACAUUGGGACUGAGACACGGCCCAAACUCCUACGGGAGGCAGCAGUGGGGAAUAUUGCAUAAUGGGCGAAAGCCGGAUGCAGCGACGCCGCGUGAGCGAAGAAGUAUUUCGGUAUGUAAAGCUCUAUCAGCAGGGAAGAAAAAUGACGGUACCUGACUAAGAAGCACCGGCUAAAUACGUGCCAGCAGCCGCGGUAAAAC
rnacentral:rRNA from 1 species